CUCUAAUCUUUUUUCAAAGACCAAAAAUAAACCCUUAGUGCUUCUCAAGUACUUAGAAAUAUUUUUUCAUAGCAAUCUAGUGCUAUCUGCUCGUGACUUUCACAGUAAGAUAUACAAAAUUGAGUACAUAGUAUUGUAUACACCUACGCCCAAGAGGAUAAUGGAUCUCUCUUGGAGGUUUCUAUGCUGAACCCUUUCAGCACCUCUUUCAUGUACUUAUGAAAAAUAAAUAUUCUUUAAGAUCUAUCUCUAUAGAUCUUUAAUUCUAGAAUAUAGGAUGU
rnacentral:lncRNA from 1 species